AUGUAACCUACCCUUAUCAGGGGGAUAGCCUCUCGAAAGAGAGAUUAAGCCCGCAUAAAAUCACAGCACAGCAUUGUGUAAUGAUCAAAUAUUUAUAGGAUAAGGAUGGGCAUGCGGAACAUUACCUAGUUGGUAAGGUAACGGCUUACCAAGGCUACGAUGUUUAGGGGAUCUGAGAGGAUGGCCCCCCACACUGGUACUGAGACACGGACCAGACUCCUA
rnacentral:rRNA from 1 species